rfam:Populus trichocarpa scaffold_1_contig_220, whole genome shotgun sequence.
UCUAGAACUUGAGAUAUGGGUUGAACACUGAAUCGUGUCUGGGUUGCAGGACAAAUUCUGAUGUCUUUGUUGUUGCUACAAUUUGAACUUGAAAACUGUCCUUUUGAAUCUUGAACUCUGUAUGAAAGUUUUAGGCCUAUGGCUUAGCUUUCCAUA